rnacentral:rRNA from 1 species
GACGAACGCUGGCGGCGUGCUUAACACAUGCAAGUCGAACGGAAAGGCCUCUUACGGGGGGUACUCGAGUGGCGAACGGGUGAGUAACACGUGAGUAACCUGCCCUUGACUUUGGGAUAACUUCAGGAAACUGGGGCUAAUACCGGAUAGGAGCUCCUGCUGCAUGGUGGGGGUUGGAAAGUUUCGGCGGUUGGGGAUGGACUCGCGGCUUAUCAGCUUGUUGGUGGGGUAGUGGCUUACCAAGGCUUUGACGGGUAGCCGGCCUGAGAGGGUGACCGGCCACAUUGGGACUGAGAUACGGCCCAGACUCCUACGGGAGGCAGCAGUGGGGAAUAUUGCACAAUGGGUGGAAGCCUGAUGCAGCAACGCCGUGUGCGGGAUGACGGCCUUCGGGUUGUAAACCGCUUUCGCUCAUGACGAAGCUUUGUGUGACGGUAGUGGGUAAAGAAGCACCGGCUAACUACGUG